rnacentral:snRNA from 1 species
AUGCUUGCUUUGGCAGCAUAUAUACUAAAAUUGGAACAAUACAGAGAAGAUUAGCGUGGCCCCUGUUCAGGAUAACACACAAAUUUGUGAAGUGUUCCAUAUUUGA